AUUGACACAUUGUAAAAUUUUUCCUUGAGUCAUAUGUGUAAAUCUGUUUUUUGCACUACUCAGUGGGAUUCUUAAUUUUUCUUCUUAGCUACUAACUUAACUUUCGUCAGAAAACGGCUUUUAUAUGUAAGAUUUUCAAAACUAAAGAAUAUUCCUUUUACUGUAAUAUAACUACACAAAAAAAUAUGAAGAGAAAUAAACAAUUUUAUUUGCAAAAUCUAGAUUUCAACUAGUGGGAAGACCUGUGAGCAGCUCUGCCUGAAGUUGGUCAUGUUUUUGAAAUACACCAUACAAUUUUUAAAAUAUAAUUUAGCAGAAAAUACAAUUUUAGAAAAAUAUAAUUUAGCAGACCUUAAAAUACUUGUUAACUUGUACUUAAUGGCAAAAUUAAAUACAAGUUAACAAGUGUUUUAUUAUGUUGCCUUUUUGAAUUCCUAAAGAUAAAAAGUAGUUUCCAUAGUUUCCAAUAAAUGAGUUUUUCUUUUUUCCAGGGGUGGAAGCAGAAGAAUGGGGUAAAUUUCUUCACACCAAAAAUAAGCUUUACACGGAUUUUGAUGAAAUUCGACAAGAAAUUGAAAAUGAAACAGAAAGA
rnacentral:sRNA from 1 species